GAAAUAUGGGUCAAGAGUGUUGUAGUUCCACUAUUUAAAAAAGGUCAAGUUGAUGAUACAGGAAAUUACAGAGGAAUUUCGCUUGUGUCUCAUGUUAGGAAAUUGUUUACUUCUGUCAUUAAUACAAGACUAUUAAAGUGGUGCAAAGAAUCCAGUAUAUUGACUGAUGCGCAGUUUGGAUUUGUCCCCGGAUAUGGUACACACG
rnacentral:lncRNA from 1 species